GAUGAAAAAAGGAAAAGGAGAGGUAAAAAGGCAGAAGCUGGAAGCAGAAAACAACCAGAAUAGUAGGUGAGAGGCAGUACUUUUUUUUUUUUUUUUUACUUAAGCUUUUGUUUUGCCCUAGA
rnacentral:ribozyme from 1 species